rnacentral:lncRNA from 1 species
UGGUUAUGGGCUUUGUUUCUGGAGCUCAGACAGUCCUUAGUUUGAAUCCCAAAUCUGUCCUUACCUCUGAUAAGCCUCACUAAAGCUCACUAAACCUCUGUCCCCUUAUCUGCCAAUUGGAGAUAAUCAUGAUAUUUAAUCCUAUGGAGUGCUGUGAGGAUUAACUAAAACAAUGCAUUUGAAGUUCUUGGCACUAUGUCUGGCAUGGAGGUAUAUGACUAUGAUUUGUAAAUUGCAAUGCUUCUGAGAUGGCAGUAGAGGGAGCAGAGUCAAUGGGAACUGGACUUCAGAAAAUUAGCAAGAUUGAUAUUAAACCCUUUUACAAGACAAUGUUCCUGUUCUGAUGGAGCUAGAGCAACCUGCACACAGAUGAGUCGAUGAGAUUCACACCAGGCCAUCUUAUCCCAAUAAUCCUUGCUGUCCCACUCAUGUGGUACUAGCAUAUGCAACCAGGGAACUCAACGCAUCUUUCUGCGUGUACAUAUUGUCUGUCCAACCUCCAACUCCAGCUCACCCCAGUUUCCUCAGAACACUUAAGAGGGGAGAGGAGAAGUAUGGUGAUAUCACAAAACUGAAACUAGCAAAUGUUUAUAUUCUUUGUACAAAAAUUGGGAGAAGGUGGAGCUGGUUUACCUCCCUUACAGCGGCAAGAGUGAUAUCCUCUCUCUUCCUCUCUCUGUUUCCCACAAAAGCAGCUCCACUGGGCAGAGUGGGAAAAGCACAAUCAGAACCGAUUUUGAAUCCACCCUAUCUUCUAUUUACAACUGUGAACCUGCCUAUCCCACCCAGACUCUCUUCAUCUCCAUUUCCGCUCUGUACAGCAAGGUGGCAGGGAAGCUGGAGGGUUAACCUGGUGAGUGCCAAAGUUACCCAUAACUUGUUUAUUAUUCUAUUAUUAACAGCUAUUGAUUCAGCAUUUAACCUGAUCCCAUUUCUUACAUUAUAUCUUUGACUUUUCCCAGCAAUUUCAGGUGGGACAUAAUAUCCCCACUUUUAUAGACAGGGAGUUUUGGGGUUAGAGAAGUUAGGUAACUUAUAUAACUUUGUGCCACUAGAAAUUGACACACCAGAACUAGAAGCUACUUUUCUGAAAGUCUUUAAUCUGGGAUUUUCUUCUUAGCAUGAUGCAGCAAAAAAUUAGAUAUAGGGCUUAUCACCAGGGCAACUGGGUGGCUGUUUGAGAAAGGAGACAGGAAUCUGUGGGGGCCUUUGAAUUUGGAAAACCUUCCAGGGGUUUCAUUUUAGCAUUUGGUUUGUUCUUCAUUUUACUUCGAAUUUUUUUAUGUCUUUGUCUCUGAGGGACUGACAAGGCCAGGGCCAGUGUAGGGUCAAGAAACUGCAGACCUGCUUAUUUAGUUUUGAUUCUAAAAAAGAGAAACAAAUUGGACAUAGAAGCGCCCUUUCUUAGAUGUCUUCCUCCACUCAUGAAAUACAGAAGGAAGACAGAGGUUCAAGGCAGAAGAUUUAACCAAGAAAAAAGUGCGUAUUUGGGCAGAGAGUCCCUCAUGAUAGACAUCUCUGGAUAAACGAGUUACAGUUGGCAGCAUAUGGCAAAUAGAGCAGAGGUUCUCUAAGUGUUACCUGCAGAUCCCUGGGAGUGGUCCCCGAGAUCUUUUUAGAGCAUCUGCAAGGUUAAACUAUUUUUAUAAUAAUACUAAUACAGUUUUGUCUUUUCACCCUGCUGACAUUUGCACCAAUGGUACCAAAGCAAAGGUGGGUGAAACUGUUGGGGCCUUAGCACAAAGCAAGGAAGUGGUGCCAAAUUAUACUAGCAGUUGUAUAUUUCACCACCAUGCACUUACAAUAAAAUGCCAGUUUGACUUAAGAAUGUUUUUGAUGAAGCAGUAAAAAUUAUUAAUUUUAUUAAAUCUCAGACCUUAAGUACACGUCUUUUUAAUAUUCUUUGUGAUGAAAUGGAAAAGGCACAUAUUAAAGGAUGAUGGUCAUCUCGAG